AUGCAAGAAGUUGUUCUAAGCAGCACAAUAUAUAGUUUGUGCAUUAGUUUCUAAGGAUGGUGGUUUUUACCUCGAGUACAGCUUAAUUAUAUAGAGAGAAGCUUUAGAUGCUGCUAAACCAUCUUGAAGUAGGCAACAUCCCCGUAACAGAACCUUUUUCUUUCCUUUUUUUUCCCUUUAAGCCUAGAGCGAGGGGGAGGGGGGGAAAGAGAGCAUGUACAGAAGAAACUCUGCCUUUCCAGGCUUUUGAGUAAAGAACUCCAGUCCAUAAUGGUCGGAGACACUGUGUUUUGUUCUCUGGUGCAAAAUAUACUGAGCGGCUUUAGGCGGCUGAAAUCUUGCUCGGAGACCGUAAAAUGUAAGCUUAGCUUUCUUGAUGGUACCAGAAUCCAUGUUUAAAUAUUCACACUCCUAUAUGCAUAUACCAUACUUACUGUGUACGAAGUCAAGGAUGGGGAAUUGGUGCUUCUAAUUUUAGCUUGACAUCAAAAUGUAAAAUAGCACAUUUAAUUCCAAAAUGGGAAUAAUUCCGGAUAUUAUUCCAGCAAUCACACCUUAUCUUUACUGAAUUUAAUAUUUUUGUUUAUGGCCACCCAAAAAAAAAAAAAAAAGAGAGUAGGAAAAGAAACGAUAGUUUUGUGUCUUUGUUAACAAAUCAUCCAAUGUACACUUGAUGAAAAGUAAUGUCCACAAUAGGAAAAGUUUAAGUAUUGAUCCAACAUGAGUAUAUGAAUUUUGACCUUAAAGUUUGCUAGUUUUGAUUUCUAGUUCAUGCUCUUCUUCUUCUUACUUUGUGUUUUGAUGAUUAUUGAAUGCCAUUCAACAAGACUCGAAAUCGAAAUAAAUAAAUACACCCUAGUACACUAGAUAACUAUGCUUUUGACUGCCAAGUUCCAAUUUGUUUUACUCCAUAGUCUAUGCGUUUGAAACUUAAAAUAUACUACUAUUCAAUAAUGGCAAAAGAUAGAGAAAAAAAUAAAAUUAAACCUUUUAACAGCAAGCUCAAUAGUAAUAACUUCCUCUUAACCUACAAUCAGCACAACAUGACAAAGUGGGCAUUUGGGCCAUCGAGUUAACCCAUCAAAAGGAUAACUCAGACAGGUUUGGACGGGUCAUAAUUAGAUCAACUUAUUUAUACCCACUUAAAUAAAUGAGUGUGGUCCGGAUAUAUUCAAUUACUCAUUAAUGAAUCAUUUAAAAUUCUACUUUUUUUUGUAUGUUAUUUGACAAAAAUAACAGUAUUUUAUUGUUGUUAGAUUAGUAAAAAAAUUAAAUUUAUUUGCUUAACACUAAUUAAAAGUUGAGUUUAAAUGUAUAAUUAUUUUUAAAUGACUAUAAAUUGGUAAAUCAAGUCAGCUCACUAAUUAUUUUUAAAUGCAUCUAAUUGGAUAUCUAUUUAGACCUAUUCAAAAUUAAUGGGCGAGUUAUCGGUGGAAAAGUUAGGACGGGUUAACAUAAUUGGUUAUGAUCUACACCUCUAAAUUAUUGAGCAAGGACCCGUAAAUCAUCAUUGGCUUUGGAUUCAAGCCAUGGGGGCAAACGGUAUCACAUUGCAAUUCUGAGGGAUUGAACUGGGGGAGCACUAAAACAUUACUUACCGCACGAAACCCUGCUGAAACUGAGGGCUUUCUGUUUAAUAGCAGGGGACUGGAUGCGCUAAGCUGGGGUCCGGACUCAAGAGGCAAGUUCUCCACAAAAUCAGCUUACGAAAUGGAGUGUGAAAUCGAUAUGGUGGAGAAGACAAAAGGGAUGGAGCAAGAUCUAGAAACAAAAAGGUCCCGGAAGAUGAUAGUGCCUAUUGUGGAUGGUUCGGCAUGGGAAAUUAGCAACGAAUGGGGAAAAGCGGAGGCGCCAUAUAGCCAGGGAUGAGAAAUGUCCAGUUUACCAGAAAGAGUACGAGGAUACGCUGCAUGCAAUCAGAGAUUGUCCUUGGGUGGAACAACUAUGGAAACACUAUGUUAGGGAGAACAAAUGGGAAAUGUUCAAGAGCCUACCGCUGGUUAAAUGGGUGGACUGAAAUCUUAAAAAGGAAGAAUAUUGGAAUGCAUGGAGGAGUUUGUUUCUCUACCAGCUUAGCUAGUGGUUCAUCACGCAUGGACAACAAGGAAUUGCUUUAAUGCGAUUGGAGGGGAGCAGAAACUGAGACUGCAACCAACUCGCUUCGAAAGGCAAAAUUAGCCCAUGAUGAACUCACAAAAAGGGAACUGCAGCAGAAGUGUGGACUGGAUAUACAUCAGUUGGGUUGGGAACCGCCACAACAGACUGGGUAAAGGUGAAAGUAAACGGAGCAUCCGCCAACAAUCCAGGAGUUGCGGGUGCAGGGGGAUUAGUCAGAGACGAGACGGGAAAUUGGAAAGGUGGUUUCUACUGUAAUUUGGGCAUUGCAAGCAACUCAGCAGCUGAAUUAUGGGCCAUUAUCCCUUGGUUGAAAGUUGAAACUAGCCUGGCAGAAGAGCGUUGUCGCUGAAAAAGACUCUGUAGCGAGCUUAUCCCUGAUAAAUGACAGUGGGAAAGAGAGAGUCCUUAUGCAAAUCUAAUCCACAGAGUAAGACAGAAACAGGGAAUGCAAGUUGGAUGAUGCUUGGAGGGAGGGAAAUAACCGUGCAGAUGGUUUUCGGCUAAACUCAAUCCAAGCAGAGAUCCUCCAGGCUCGUCUAUCCUUAAGGGACCCGAAACCUGCAUGUUUGCAGAUGUUGAAAUUGGGUUGCAUCCCCUCGUUUCGUCCCAUUGUAACAAGGUCAAUAGGCCUUCCAAUGGACCCAAGAAAAAAAAAGAGAAAGGGUUGCUGCAUCUACACUGAUUCUAACGAACUCUGGUGGUGGAGUCGUCCAAUUUGCAUAUGCAUUUUCCCUCCAUUCUCGAACAGGUGAAACUGUUGCACUAUGGUCAAAAUUCUGUAGCGUUUAAAAGUCACCCUCUAUCCCCCACAAUCAAGCCGAUGCUAUUAUUUUGAAAAACAAAAUUGAAGUUUUAAAAGUUUGUAGCUUUUAAAAUCAACAUAAUUCCUGCAUGUGUAAAUAUGUAUGUAUAUAUUAUACCCUUUUGAGCGUCCUUUUCUCCCAAUUCUUAGACAUAAAAUUUGAACCCCAAAUCUAUAGAUAUACCAACUCCCAAAGUAAUUCCACUACUUCCUUUGAAAAAAUUAACAAUUCUACUUGAGUAGCCAUCUGAAGGUUUACCGGGCCUUUACAUUACAUCUUGUAAAAAGUGUGGGUUAAGGGGUAAUAUUGGACACAUAGUGGAUCAUAUUGUAAAAUGUUUUUUUGGUCCUUGGCAUUUACAAAUUGAGUUACUAUAGUCAAGUAAAAAUUCGACAUAACAAAUUGGAUCAUUAACAUGUUAUCCGAUUUGGAUCGACAACAUAUUUCCAAUCAUUAUUUUUGGUCAAGAAAAUGACGUAGAGAGUUAAUAUUUUGAGGAAGAAAAAAAAAAGAAUAAACAUUUUUUUAUUAUAUUAAAAAAAAAAGAUAUGUAUGCAUUAAGAUACACCUUCAUAUCCUUAAUAUGGAAAAUAACGAACAUAUCAAAACCAUACUUUUAACUUUGCUUCGUAUUACUUUUUGGGGAGCAGUGUCCGCGGACAUGGAAUCCAUACAGGAUUAACUAAAUCAAUUUUGAUCGUUCAAGUGGUGAAUAUGCACUUUUUCAAGAAUGAGUAGAUUAGAAAUGAUAAUUUGCAGAAGUGAAGGACUAUAUGUGAAAUAUUUUCAAGUUAGUUUGAUUUCACUUGUAGCCCCCUCAGGCUUUUUAUCCCCCUAGAAGCCCUUGGCAUUCGUCCCUUCCGUGACUGGCUGAUUGUAUGAACAGGGACAUAAACUGAUACAGAACCAAAUAUAUAUAUAUAUAUAUAUAUUUGUUUAUUUAUCCGCUCCUUUCUUCACGUCGAUUUCUAAUUGCUCCACGUCAAAAAGUCGAACAAUCUGAACUUUAGGUCCAUUAGAUUCUCCGAUUUUGUCUUGAGUUCUCUGAGGUUAUAUUAUGUAAUAAGGAAGAAGAAGAGGGAAGAACACUGAAUCAAACGGCUCACAGAAACGGAGAUCUCAUAGUUAUUACUGUUCUUUUGCUGCUGACGGGGCCGAUCAAAAUCAAAUCUUUCUCUGGUUCAGGUCUGAUUCCAAUCCCAAUUCCACAUUUAGGCUUUUUCUUAUGGAUGAUAGAUUGAACUAAAAGUUUAUAGCCCUUAUGGGCUCUUUACCCUUUUUGCUGAUUGAUUAAAUUUACAGGCUAGUCAACAGUCGAAAUAUUUGCCUGCACUUACUGGAUUAUAUCAGUCGUUAUCGAACUUUCUAUUUUUUUCCGAAACCUUAUUGGCAGAUACGGUGCCUUUUUCUCUUUUUUAGUCUGUUGUUUUUUUCCUCAACUAAUAAUUGCUCAAUUGAGAUGAGGAAUCUUUUACGAGCUUUUCUUUUUUGUCAAAAGAAAAUAAAGCCAAAAAAUGGAGAAUUUGAAUUAAUUUUAAUAGCAAAGGUGUAUGCCAAGUGGGAGAAAUUGAAUCUUGGCUAAUGUUUUUAACUUUCACUAAAUUACCCACUUGAAUUUCUUUUUUUGGGUUUCCUCUUGUUUUAUAGUCAUGAACCAGAUUAAUUGUUUGACAUUUUUAAAUUGAUUACUGAUUAACUUUCCAAUUCCUUUUGAACUAAAGCAUGCCAUUGACUUUGUUUUCUAAAGCUAUAAUGAAGCCAUUGACUUUGGAUGGCUUGCAGAUUUGUCAGUUUGCACGGUUUGAUGUGUAAACUGUUCAAUUUUGGAUCACUUAAUUGCUAAUGCAAUCGACUGAUGCAAAUGAAAAGGAGAAGACUUUGAAACGUCGGAGAUCACUUUCUUUCGACAUGCCAGUAACUGAUCCAGCUACGGUACAACCAUUAGAUGACUGCUUCGUUUUUCCUGUUGAAGAAAUUGUCCAAUACCCAUUGCCAGGUUUUGGAGCUCCAACAUUGGUUAGCUUCAGUCCUGAUGAUAGCUUGGUGGCAUACUUAUUUAGUCCUGAUCAAAGUUUGAACAGAAAUCUCUUUGUGUUUGAUCUGAAAAGCCGCAAGCAAGAAUUGUUUUUCAGUCCUCCAGAUGGUGGACUUGAUGAGAAUAACUUAUCUGCAGAAGAGAAGUUGAGGAGGGAGAGGUCAAGGGAACGUGGAUUGGGGGUAACUCGCUAUGAAUGGGUGAAGACAAGCUCGAAAAAGAAGGCUGUUAUGGUGCCAUUACCUGUUGGGGUGUGUCUCCUUACCUCCAUGUUAUUUUCCUUUUGCAUAUAUAAGACCAUUCUCAUGGGUGAAUGCUGAAGCGAAAGCUACUCUUAUUUAUUUAUUUUUGGAAUGCUGAAGCAAAAGCUUCUCCUUUUUUAUUUUUAUUUUUUGGUUUUUCUUUUCUCCAGUGGUAGGAUGUAUCGUUUUGUCAUUGAGGGACAUGACGAGAUUAACAAAGUUGCUCUGGAGUGCUCUUUCCAAAUGCACAAAAAUGUGUUCGAAAAGAACCCCUUUUCCAGUCUUUUUGGAACUAUGCUGCCUUAAAAUUUUCUGUUUUCUUUGCUCUUCUUGACCUGGAAUUUUCUGUAGGAAUAAGAUGCCAAGGAAGUCUAACGAUUUUAAGUCUUUUUAAUAGCUAUUCAGAUUAUUGACUUGCUAAAACUUGGGAACUAUCAUUUGCAUGGCUGCGCUAUAUUUCCACUUGGUAUAGUAAAUAAUGGGUUUGCUUGGACGCUGGUUUUUUUUCAAAAGUUUUUUUGCUUACAUCAUCAAUAUAUUUUUCAAUCACCUUUUUAUCUUGCAUACAUCACAUCAAAAAGUGCUACAGUAUUUUUAAGAAAUUAUCCCAAAAAAGUGCUACAGUAUUUGCUUGCAUAAAAAAAAUGCUUUCCAAUGGUUCAUUUAUACAAGAAUCCAUUUCAUCUACUGACAUGGGCCUGUGCGCAUCUAACCUACUUCUGUUUGAUCCAUCACAGAUAUAUAUCCAGGAUUUUCAUCUGCAGCCAGAGCUUAAGAUUCCAAGUGUAGCAUCUUCUCCAAUUAUCGAUCCACACAUCUCCCCAGAUGGAACCAUGCUUGCAUAUGUCAGAGAUAGUGAGCUUCAUGUGUUAAACCUUUUAUACAACGAUUCAAAGCAGUUGACAUCCGGUGCUGAUGGAAUCAAUCUAGUAAGCAUAAAGUCCAAUAUUGUUGGUAUACUUGAGAUGGCCCCUAUGAUGAUAUAUAUGAAGUCUAUAAAUUAGAGAGAUCAUUUUGACCAAUCAUAGUGUACAAAUAAGUGUAUUUUAGCAGUGCAGGUUGCCCACCAAUUGUGUUUGCAAUUUAUGACCUCUUGGAAUCGUGUUUUCAUCAUUUGAUCUUUUUGGCCAAAUUUGGCUCUCAUUUAAACUUGUUGGUCUAUUCUAAUGACAGUAAUCUGCCAAGAACAACAAUUAAGUGUUAUGCCUUCAACGUUUUGUCUUAUUACGCCUGUAUUAUGGUCCAUUUCAUGGACCUUUUUUGUUGGACUGAAUUAUGUUUAAGAUGUAUGAAUAUGAUGAUCAUUUCUCGUUUGGGUUGUUUCAGAUGCAUGGUCUUGCAGAAUAUAUAGCACAGGUGAGAUAAUUCAUUCUCUCUCUUUAGAUUUUCUGAGAUUUUCAAUAGUUUAGUGCCCAUUAUGGGAGAAGAAAUAGGUUAAUGCACAUCUUUCUGAUUCUAGGAGGAGAUGGAACGAAAGAAUGGUUACUGGUGGUCACUGGACAGCAAGUUCUUGGCAUUUACACAGGUUGAUUCAUCUGAGAUACCUCUUUUCAGAAUCAUGCACCAAGGUAAAAGUUCUGUUGGUUCAGACGCACAGGAGGACCAUGCUUACCCUUUUGCUGGGGGGCCCAAUGUCAAAGUGCGCCUUGGGGUGGUUUCUGUCAUUGGAGGUCCUGUGGUGUGGAUGGAUCUUCUCUGUGGAGAAAAGGUCGAAGCUGAUGGUGAUGAGGAAUAUUUAGCAAGAGUAAACUGGAUGCAUGGAAAUGUUCUUACUGCUCAGGUUUUGAGUAGAUCGCAUUCUAAGCUCAAAAUCCUCAGGUUUGACAUCAAAACAGGCUGUAGGAAAGUACUUGUGGAAGAAGAGCAUGAGACAUGGAUCACUCUGCAUGAUUGCUUCACCCCUUUGGAUAAAGGACUCAAUAAAUACCAUGGGGGAUUUAUUUGGGCGAGUGAGAAAACAGGAUUUAGACACCUGUAUCUUCAUGACUCAAAUGGAGUUUGCUUGGGACCUAUAACUCAAGGAGAUUGGAUGGUUGAGCAAGUUGCUGGAGUAAAUGAGGCUGCUGGCCUCGUAUACUUUACAGGAACUUUAGAUGGCCCUUUAGAGUCUCAUCUAUAUUGUGCUAAAUUGUUUCCAGAUGCAAGCUGUCCAUUGGAGGCCCCAUUGAGAUUAACUCGAGAAAAGGGAAAACAUAUAGUUGUCCUUGACCAUCAACUGCAUAGUUUCAUAGAUAUUCAUGAUUCACUGGAUACACCUCCAAGAAUAUCUCUUUGCUCCCUACAUGAUGGCAGCUUAGUUAUGCCUUUGUACGAGCAACCACUGAGCAUUCCCAGGUUCAAAAAGCUCCAGAUUGAGCCUCCACAGAUAGUUCAGAUACCAGCAAAAGAUGGGACUGCUUUAUAUGGGGUGCUAUACAAGCCUGAUCCUUCAAGAUUUGGACCACCACCAUAUAAAACUAUGAUUCAAGUCUAUGGUGGUCCCAGCAUACAGCUAGUCUGUGAUUCCUGGGUGAACACUGUAGACAUGAGGGCUCAGUACCUUAGAAGCAAAGGCAUCCUAGUAUGGAAGGUUAGCUGAUAUUUAGAUGAGAUCAAACUAUUUAUCUGAUGAAGAAUCAUUUUCUUUGUUUCUAUGCACCCCAUUGUACUUUGCAAAAGUGUGCUACACUUGUAAUCAGUGCACGAUUUGUACCAAGUUUAGAUGCCUUCUUAAAUUUGUGGAAUCUGCCCAAAGGUUGGGAUUCCUACACAGAAGAUAUGUCACAAAUAACUUAUCUGUUUUCUAGUUUCUUGCCAUGACAUUGUAACAUUCCCAGCUGUUUAUUGUAGAAGAUACAGGAACAGCUUAAUUCUGAUCUCGAGUCCUUUCCCUUUUUCAGAUGGAUAACAGAGGAACUGCUCGACGGGGACUCAAAUUUGAAGGUGCACUGAAGUAUAAUUGUGGCCAUAUUGAUGCUGAAGAUCAAUUAAGCGGAGCUGAAUGGCUAAUAAAAAAUGGACUAGCUCACCAAGGCCAUAUCGGAUUGUACGGAUGGAGCUAUGGCGGAUACCUCUCAGCUAUGUCUUUGGCAAGGUUUCCUGAAUUAUUUCGGUGUGCUGUUUCUGGUGCCCCAGUAACAUCAUGGGAUCGGUAUGAUACAUUUUACACUGAAAAGUACAUGGGUUUGCCCGCUGAAAAUCCGUCAGGUUAUUUGUAUAGCUCUGUGAUGCAGCAUGUGGAGAAAAUCAAGGGGAAGUUGCUGCUCGUGCAUGGUAUGAUUGAUGAAAAUGUGCAUUUUAGGCACACUGCAAGGCUUGUAAAUGCGUUGGUGGCUGCUGGUAAGCCUUAUGAGUUGUUGAUAUUUCCUGACGAGCGGCACAUGCCCCGCCGGCAUAGGGACCGUAUAUAUAUGGAAGAGAGGAUAUGGGAUUUCAUUGAGAGGAAUUUGUGAUGAAUGAGCCAGUUGUGAUUCAUUGUUCCAGUUGGUUCUGUCCCUCAUCAGGUUGAGAAACUCUUGUAGUCUCAGUUUCAUACUUUCAUCUCUUCCCGUUCUUUUUCCAUCCCCUUUUCGGGAUUCUCUGGCAAUAAAGGAAAAAAAGGCCUUUUUUUCUUCUUUUGAUUCGCUGAACAAUUUUAGCUGUGUCCAAUACCCAGAACUUGUAAUUGAGCUUUGUAUUGGCUCCCAUGUACCAUACGUGCUCGUGUACAAAAUUUACGAGUAAACUCUGCAUUUGUUGAGAGACACCGGAAUAACAUUGCAGUUUAUUCUUUUCUUUUGUAUGAUUGUUUUUCUUCUAAUGUGUUUUGGCUAAUGCCAAUACAUUGGCCUGGGGCAUGUGGCUCACAGAACAUUUCAGCAAAUCAAAUUCAGAGGCAUAAAUAAAAUGUCGAACUAAGCACUGGUAUUUGCACUGCUGGUUACAAAUAGAUUUGUGUACUAGUAGACAAAUCACCUAAUCAGACUUUGUACUUUGAAAUACAUGUGGAUAGGUCUCCGGAAAUUCAAUGUCAAUUAAUAUCUCGUCUGGCUAAUUACUCUCCCCCAUUUCUUUUAAAAUAGUGGGAAGGAUUGUACCAUUCUUCUCGUGGAAAGAUUGUACCAUUCUUCUUGGCCAAGUUAAAACUCUAAGGGUGCGUUUGAUAAAACUAAAAAUUGAAAUAUGAAAUCUGAAGUCAUUAAAUUAUUAAAUUGUAAGUAUUAAAUUUAAUAUAUUUGAGUGUAUAUCACAUUUAGUGAUAAGUAAAUAGUUUAUCACUUAAUUUUCGGAGCAAGUUUUGUCUAGGAAAUUCAAUGCUACUUAAUUAAUUCAGAUGUUCAAUUUUUGGUUAUCAAACGGUCUGAAUAUGUUAGGAUCUGAAUCUAUUAAAUUUAAGUGCUGAAUUGGGUUAUCAAGUAGGGUUUAAAACUUAAUGGGACAAAUUUAGAAACCUCAAAUUUUUGACAAUUUCACUUAGCACCCCUAAAAUUUUAAAAAUUAUGCAUAUCUUCCUUGUUCAUUUAAAAUGAUAAUGCUAACCUUAAUAUUCUAAUAAAGCUCCCUUAUUUGCACUUCUUAUCCAUAAGAUGGGUUUCAUAUUCCCCUUUCCUCCCCCCCCCCAAACCUUCUUAUUCAAUUUUUUUAUAUUUUAAAUUAAGGGUAGAAAUUGAGGCCCCAAAAACUAAAAUUGAUGCCCCCAAUUGAUUUUUGGUAUUUUAAAUUAAGGGUAGAGUUGAAAUUUCACAGUUCUCCGUUAAUAAAGAAGGUUUUCGUCCACUUCCUAUAUUAGUCCAAAAUACAAAGAAGGCUAUUUGGGUGUUUUUAAAUAAUAAGGGGGUUUCGUGACCUUUGAUAAAAUCACAAAAGAGUUUUCUGUAUUUUAUCAUUUCUUUUAUAAUUGUCCCAAAUUACUUUAUAAUGGUUUAGAAGAACAAAUUAAACUUUUUAAAAUAAGAGCAUCUUAAGAUAUUCAUUUAAGUUUUUAUCCUAUUUUAAGGUUUGAUUAUUAAAAGUAUCAAAUUAAGGGAGGUAAGUAUAAAUUUUAAAAAUUUGAGAGAGAUAAGUAAAAUUGUUAUAAACCACAAGGGGGAUUUUUGAAAUUAUCCCAAACUUGAUUGAGAAGCCUGGUAAGGGAUCUUUGGGAAAAAUAAUUCUUACCGAUGCCGGAUGAAAGAGAAUAGAAGAAGGACAGGCUUGCCGCCGGCACUAAAGGAAGGGGCGGAUGCUGGGAUCUACCAAAUCUGAAUUGCGCUUUGCCAUAAUAAAACUUUCCUUCUGUUCUUUAGACACAUAACUGAGCGGAAACGUGCUUUCUGUUGCCUUUGUUCCCAAUCAAUGAUACAGAUGCUACUCCUCUUGGAUCGAGGCUACAGUUGUGCAGUCAUUCCAAUUGCCAACUAAAAAUGCAAUUUCACUGCACCCAAGGAGUAAUUCAAGUAUUGCAUUUUUCACAUCAGGACAUGUAUUCCAAAUGUAUUAAGUUCGAGCUCUCCACUACUAUUAAGUCCAAUAUAAAUUCUACAUCUUUUAUUGAUUCAUCAAAGAAAGUUAUGCAAAACAAGAUCUAAUGAUGACGUUUAUUUCAUCUUCUUUGGUUAUUUUUCUUUGUUCAACUUUAGGAAAGAAAUUGUUCUUGUCUCAUUUAAAAUUAAAAUAAAAUCAAAGAGAGAAGGGUUAAAAAGGGGAUAAUAUCAGAAACCUCCCUUGAAAUUUCUCGUAUUAUCAUUUGGCAUCAUUAAGGUUUUAAAUAUAUCACUUACUUCCCUUAUUUUUGUUAUUUGUGAAAUUCUUUUUUUUAACAAUCUAAACUACCCUUCUACUUGUUAAAUAAAAAUACACUUAAAUCAUUUUGUUUAUUUCAAGAAAACUAUCAUUUAAAAAAAAUAAUAUCUAAUAGUACUACCACAUCAUAAUGCUAUAGUCCAUAAAAAUAUGUAUUUAAAAAAUAAAAAAGGUAUUUGCGAAGAAAUACACUUGAUUAAUUUAACUGUAUAUGUUCAAAAUCGAUUUCUUAUAAACUUUAUAUUUUUUCCAACUUCUUCUUAAUCAUUGCCAAAACCUUUUAAAUUAUACUGAUCAUUAUAAAAGUCAACCUAAAAUAAACAAAGAAAUGAUACUACACUCUAUCACAAUUACAAAAAAGUUAAAAAUAAACAAAAUUUAAUUUAUUAUAAUUUACAAAUAAAAAAUCACAUAAUCAUCCAAAAAAUGAGUAAGACAAAAAAUUGGAGGAAAUAGAAAAAGAAAAAAGUGACAUUUGUUUCUUUUUUAUUUAAUUUUGACCUCCAUUUAUUUGAUAUGUGAAUUAUAUAUUAAUUGAGGGUUAGUAUAGUCUUUUGCAAUUAUUAGGGGAGGUAAGUGAUUAUUUUUAAAAUUUCAAGGGCGCAAAGUGAUAUUAGGAUAAAGCUCAAGGGAGGUCUCUGAUAUUAUCCCUUAAAGAAAACAAAAAAAUAAAAAGAGGAAGAACUUUUUUUUUAAUUAUUUUUUAACCUCUUUUCAAAUCUAUGCAAAGUUCUAGAACAUGGUAGUAAGGUCCCCCGAUACUUGCGGUGAAAGUGCUUACGUGCCAUCAUUUCCGUGGGGCCUCCAGCAACACUAUGGCUACAUCCACCCAGCUGUGCUGGUUAAUCCAAAUUAGCCCCCAAUGCAAAUGGUAGUAAAAAUUUUCACUCAUUACACUCCCUGUCUGUGCCCCCGGUAAAAAAAUCUCCUCCUGCAAAGUAAGUGCAGAGCAAGAAACGGGGGGAAAAAAAAUCCUCUUGAACCAAAAAAAAAAAAAAAUGCAGGAGGUGAUCAUGGAUAUUGGAGAAGAAAAUAUUAUGGGUUUUGGAUAGAUCCUUUGAUAAUUUCCCUUCAAUUUUAAUUACAAUUUGUUCUGCAAUUUGCCACGCUCACCUUUGAACUUUCCUUUUGCCUCUUCCCGAUAAGAAGUUCAAAUUUUUUCCUGCCCUAUUAGACAUUGUUGAAGUCAAGAUGUACCACGUUUAACUUCGGUUGGUUUUUCUUGUUUAGACCAUAAUUGGUACCCGGGAAUCCUGAAAAGGCAAAAACUUUCUGCCUUCUUAGUGGAAAAAGCUUUUGCUUUUGGUGAUGGUGUAUCUUGCAGGUUGAGAAUGUGUUGAAGGGCGGUGCAAUUGAGUUUCAGGUCAUAGCACCACAAUAUUACAAAUCCUUGUGCUUUGUUUACUACUAUCGAUGUAAGGGUUCUGCCUCAUUUCCUUGUACUCGGUCCCUUCAGGCUAAAUUUUGGGUUCUUGAUUUGUGAAUAUUCUUGGGUUCUUGGUUCUGACGUGAUAAAUUGUUGUUUGUGGAUUGAUAGGUUUCUGGAAUUUUAGCGUGUUGUAUGGUUUUGUCAAGUGGUUGACUAAUUAGGCUGUUGAAGAACCAAACUUCGUGAUUGUUGUGGUGGGCUCUUAAAAAAUUGAGAACUUUACCGCUUGAUAUACAGGGGAGGAUUAUCUAUUGGAGCUGCAAUGUCGAUUGCCAGUGUGGCUCUUACUCCUGUUUAUGAAGAUUAUUGGAACUUUCCUGGUCAUGUCUUGGGUAGAAAUGGGGCUUUUUCAAAUGAAUCCAUCGUAAUUUUCCUUGCAAUUGGAGGGUCUGUGAUACCUAUGCAGGUAAUGGGGUCUGAUUCUAUUGCUUCUGUAAAGCUCAGGAUACAGAACCGUAAGGGAUUUUUUGUGAAGAAUCAGAAACUUGUUUUUGAUGGGAAAGAAUUAUCGCGGAAUAAUUCCCGUGUUCAGGACUAUGGGGUCACUGAUGGGAAUGUGUUGCAUUUGGUCCUUAGGCUAUCAGAUCUCCAGGCGAUUACUGUUAGAACUGUUUGUGGGAAAGAGUUUGAGUUCCAUGUUGGACGAAAGAGAAAUGUGGGCUAUGUGAAACAGCAGAUUGCUAGAAGCGGGAAUGAAUUUCUCGAUCUCAAGGAUCAGGAGUUAGUAUGUGAUGGUGAGGAACUAGAAGAUCAGAGGCUCAUUGAUGAUAUUUGUAAGACCAAUGAAGCAGUAAUACACUUGCUUGUCCGUAAGUCAGCAAAAGUUAGAGCUAAGCCUGUUGGAAAAGAUUUUGAAGUCUCGAUUGUUGCAUCAGAAGUAGAUAAGAGUAGGAGGGCUGACUCAGUAGAUGAGAGAAGUUCUGAGGUGGAAUCAUUAGUUGAGAAACUUCCAGUUGCUGCCAUAAGGCCUUUGGAGAAAGAAUUCUUUUUGGAACCACUAGUAGUCAAUCCAAAUAUUAGGCUAUCAUCUGUGAUUAAGCAACUUGUUGAUGCCACUUACCAUGGACUGGAGAAGGGUAAUCCACCGAUUAUGUCGUCUGAGGGGUCAGGGGGUGUUUAUUUCAUGCAAGAUUCAUCUGGUCAGAAGUAUAUUUCUGUAUUUAAGCCAGUUGAUGAGGAACCCAUGGCUGUAAACAACCCUAGAGGGGUUCCCUUGUCCGUCAAUGGUGAAGGGUUGAAAAAAGGGACACGAGUUGGUGAAGGGGCUGUAAGGGAAGUUGCAGCAUACAUCUUGGAUCAUCCAAAGGGUGGACAGUGCUCGUAUCUUAAGAAUGAGAAAGGCUUUGCUGGCGUUCCCCCAACUGUGAUUGUCAAGUGUCAACAUGAAGCAUUCAAUUAUUCUGAGGGCUUUCACCCAUCCUAUAAGAAUACUAAGGUUGGAUCACUCCAAUUGUUCAUGGAGAACUGCGGCAGUUGUGAGGACAUGGGGCCCCGUAAUUAUCCUGUGGAUGAAGUACACAAGAUUUGUGUUCUGGAUAUUAGGUUAGCAAAUGCAGACAGGCAUGCUGGCAACAUCUUGGUUUGCAAAGAUUCCGAAGAAGGUCGGAUUAACCUCAUUCCAAUUGAUCAUGGCUACUGCUUGCCUGAAAAUGUAAGCACAUCGAACUUUCUACAUGACGACUUGAUUGAACUUAUUGUAACCAUUUGAAAUUUUAAGAACACUAAAGGCAGGGGUUACAUUGGGUGCCUUGGGAGUUAAUUCACCUAGAAAGUGUCAUGUUCUGUACUAUCAUGAGCAUUUGAGGUUAAUGAUGGUGUCCCGAUGCCUGUGUAAAACAAGUUAAUUUGGAAAUUAAAUCCGAGGCUACAUCCUGUUCCAAAACAUAUAAGUGUCAGAUUUUGAUGUUACACUCUGGUAACAAGUAGUUUCCUGAGAAAGGUGCCUAGUUUUUUUGUGCAGAGAUACUUAAAGCGGGUAGCUUUAGGACAAAAGUUCAUUUGAAAGAAGUCUAGUAUAUUUUGCAUCGUACUUUUAUGGGUACGGCAACGACCAAUAGUGAGAUUUCCAUUCGUGAGGAUUUUAGAUUACCUUGAUCAUUGCCAUUGUUUUGAGGUUUAUUUCUUUCCCAUCCUGUGUUUCUUCUUUCUGAUUUGUUGUAUUGUUCUUCCAUUGGUUUGCUUUUUUUCUUCUUGUUUCCUUGCUGCAGUUCAAAGACUGCACCUUUGAUUGGCUUAAUUGGCCUCAAGCACGCCAACCGUUUUCGCCAGAGAUAAUUGCCUACAUAAACUCGCUCGACGCUGAGAAAGAUAUUGAACUUUUGAGGCUGCAUGGAUGGGAACUUCCAUUUGAUUGCGCGCGCAUCCUUCGCAUCUCCACCAUGCUCUUGAAAAAAGGUGCAGGGAGAGGGCUUAAUGCAUUUCAAAUUGGAAACAUCAUGUGCAGGGAAACACUGAAGAAGAAAUCGGUUAUUGAGCAAAUUGUCCGAGAAGCACAAGAAGCUGUGCUUCCUGGAAUGAGCGAUGCUGCAUUCCUCGAGUCGGUGUCAUUGAUCAUGGAUCGUUACCUUGAUGCCAUGUCUGCAAGUAAAUAUGUAGGUAGGUAGAAUGUACGUAGAAUAUUGUGACUGGUCGGAUGGAGGAUGGACGGCCAAGGAUGUUGCUUAAUCUCUAUCCCUCCUGGGUAGUCCUACAUCGCGACCCUAUGACUUUGUUGCGCUUAACUCCGCUCUUUUGAGCAUUAUGACUGUUGAAACUGAGAAUUGAAAGCAUCGCUUUCCUCGUAAAAGUGUUACCUGAUACCAUGGUCUCGUCAAAUCUCUGUUCUUUCUUCGUGUUUAUCUCUAGUUUUGUUCUUUUGCGUUUUUCCCCUUGACGAGCUCUCUCUCUUCACACACAGACACCUGCAUGUAUGCGUCGGUAUUGACGGAAAAGAGGAGGAAAGUCUACCGUUAGUUUCUCCUCAGGUGCCUUUGUUUUCUCUGAUUCUGUGUCCUGAGAGGAUUCUACCAAUUUAGCUGGUAUUUGUUGGUCACGAAGGAAUCUAAUUACCAUGAAGGAUAAUCCCAUUUGAAUUUUCAAAAAUUUUUGGGGCCUUUUUGAAUGGAUGUUCUAUGAGUAUUUGUUAACAUAUCUACAUUUCAGUCAACCUAUUUUAUAUAUAUAUAUAUAUAUAUAUAUAUAUAAGCAUACUAAUAAUUAUUUUUUUUUUAUAUGGCUCUGUUUGAAUUCAAGAGUUUUUUAAAUAUUACUAAAAUUUUAAAAUUCGAGAAUUUUUCAAAAAUUAGUUUUUUAAAUAUUAUUAAAAAUUUUUAAAAAUACUUUAAAAGGUAUUUUAAAAAGUAGUUUAAAUUUUUUUUAAUAUUUAAAAAAUAUUCUAAAAAUUCUUCUACUCUUAAAUAUUUCAAAAUAUUUUCUAAAAAUAUCUUAAAAUAUACUAUAAAAACUCCGUUAUAGUAACAUUUUUCAAAAACAUUCUCAAAAACAGUUAAUUCAAUCGGAUAUAUUUAAUUAAGGAAAAUUUGUUAAAUUGGUCCCUAACAUUUAUCAAAAACACUUUUUUAGUCCCCAACAUAUAAAAUCAACCAAAAUUGUCUUUCACAUUUAAAUUGUGAUCCAAUUUGGUCCUAAUGCUCUUUUUUACUCUUUUCUCCGGCUAAAAAUAGCACGUCCUUCUCACGUGGUCAUAUUUUCAAGGGUAAAAUUGGAAAACAAAAGCUUUACUCAACUAGCUAGUCCGUUACACUGUGUAGCAAUUUGUGCACCGAGAGAGACAAACAGAGAGAGAGAUUCAUCAGCUAGCAGCAGAAUCUUAUCAUCAUCAUGUCCCCAAUUGUAAUCAGCAAUUCAAUUCCUCUUUCAAAGUUGAUAAGAUUACUGCUAUCAUCAUUAUCAUCAUCGGCAAUACCUACCCAAUUUGAAAUCUCCCAAUCGAUCCGUAAUAUCCCUCACAUAUGAAAACCUUUUCAGGAUCAAAACAGCAAUGGAAAAGGGAGAUGGGCAGUGGCGUCAAGCAGAAGCAGCUACCCAAGUGGAAAAUCCACUUUGAAAAAUCCCCAAAGCAAAAAAUCCAGCCUCCUCCGGAAUUCGUCUGCCCCAUCCCGGCUCCCUCAUGGUUGACCCCGUUGUUGUCUCCUCCGGCCACUCCUUCGAGCGUAAGUGCAUCGAUGCCUGCGAGUCCCUCAACUUCAGGCCCACCCUCCCCGACAGCUUUGUACCCGAUUUCUCCACCCUCAUCCCUAACCUCGCUCUCAAGUCCGCUGUUCUCAGCUGGUACCAUUUUACUCUCUUUACCCCUCCUCCCAAACCCUUCGAUUUUUGCUCCGCUCAUAACCUCAUUUCGUACCUUGUUGCUCGCUUCCCGUUCCCAACAAAAGCCUAAUCAUCAGUUAUCAAAGUUCUCUUCCCAAGAAACCGAGCUGACUCGGACGCCUAGUCAAGUUUCCGCCAGCUCCAAGGAAUCUGUGACGGCCGCCACUGUCAUCAACAGGCCCACCACUCCUCUACCUUUAACCACCCGCCCUUAUUGUUGCUGCUCUUCUUCGUCCUCCUCAGAUAUUGAGUCCUUGUGUCACUCUAGCUCCCUCGAAGAAGACAAGUUCAUGACCAAGCUCCGGAGCUCUUAAGUGUUCGAGCAAGAGGAGGCUCUGUUUUCCCUCCGGAAACUAACCCGGACCCAGGAGGAAUCCCGAGUGAAUCUCUACACUGCGUGUCUACUCUCGACUCUCCGGCCUCUGAUCACCUUCAAAUAUGCUUCUGUUCAGGUGAACUCAGUCACCGUUGUGGUGAACCUGUCCUUAGAGAGUCGAAGCAAGAUAAAGAUCGUGAGGUCAGGGAUCGUCCCCAGUGGAUCUGGGAUUUGUGUUUUCCAAUUUUGCCUUUGAAAAUAUGACCACGUGAAAGGGGCGUGCUAUUUUUAGCCGGAGAAAGGAGCAAAAACGAGCAUUAUGACCAAAUUGGAUCACAAUUUAAAUGUGAAGGACAAUUUUGGCUGAUUUUAUAUGUUAGGGACUAAAAAAGUAUUUUUGAUAAAUGUUAGGGACCAAUUUGACAAAUUUUCCUUUAAUUAAUCCUCUUAUAUUUAUAUGAUUUUUUAAUUAAUUUUAUAUUUUUAAAAAUCUAACACUUGAAAUACAUUCUAAUAGUGUUUAUGGGACUCUCGUUAGAUGGAAUUUUUUUUUUUGGAUACCUAUUCUUUCUUCUGCGGAUCUACGUCACUCUUAACAAAAAUGAAAAAAAAAAUUAUUUCCUCCGUUACAACAAAGCCAAAUGAGACUUCGCUUAAGCUCGGAGAGGAAAGAGCCUUUGUGAGAAUGGAUAAUAUUUUUAAAUGCGCCUUUCAUUUUGUAGCCCAAAAUCACCAUUAGCUUUGUGCAAUAGUUCGAGUGGAAAUAGCUGUUUCAAAUCGGAUCAGACAGACACAGACAUGCGCAGUGUGAGCGCUUUUACCCAUAAACCAAAAUUGAUUUGUGGUUUUAUCACUCAUUUUUCAACUGAAGUUGACGUAAUUGUCGGAUGAACCAUGUCAAAAAAAAAAAAAAAAAGGUCGAGUUGGAGAGAGAAAACUUUUAAUUUCAACCAGGACUUGCCCACCUGUAAUUGGUUUUAAGCAUUUACUUUUUGGGAUCCAAUGCCGCCGACACAGGCAUCAGCAUCAGCACUACUGUUUCUAAGUCAGCAUCACCGUCCCGUCUCUUCUGUCUCUUGGAAGAGAGAACCUAAGGCAUAUUUAUUACUCCCUCCCUUUUUUUAUAACUGAAGUUUAAGAUUUUGCACACUAAUUAAGAAAAGUUUUUCAAUGCUUAAAUCUGUACACUACUUUCCUUUUGUACCCUCAUUAAUUGUCCAAUUCACCCAUAUUUUCUCUCACUAUAGUACUAAAUGGUGCUAUUUUACCAGGUCAAAAGCAAUGCAUGAGAGUGUAUUAAUACCAGAGAGAUAAAAGGGUAAAAUUGUGAAAAAGUAAUUAAUGCUGUAUGGAGAUAAUAAAAUGACAGAUAAAAGUACACUAGAGCAAAUUUCUUAAACGUCAGUUAUAAGAAAAGGGCGGGAGUACUAUAUAGUAAUAUAAUGUAAUACAGCGGAUUCAGUAGUAGCAGUCAUGAAAAUUACACAGCUGAAUGAAUGAAUCCCCUUUUUGCUCUUGUAAUCUUUUUGCAUUUAUUUUUUCACACACUUAGUGGGGUUUUGAGAAUUACAUUCAGUACCAGUAUACAAUAAUAAGUAACAUACAAAUGAUAAAUAAAUUUUGAACAGUUAUUUUAAUUAAUUUAACCUAAAACCUAUCCAUCUUGAGCCAUACGGAACUCGAUUUACUUUAUUAGUCAUAACGGAAAAAAAAAAAAAUAGUAGUAGAGUGGGUAGGGAACCGACCACAUAAAAUAUAUAGGAAGACGCCACAAUCCUUCGAUUCUUCCAAUGAUUGGAGUAAAAACGUACAGUAACUGGCAUCCUCUUUUAAGUUGAUAGGCCGGCCAUAAAAGCAACACCGGUUGAGGGUAGCCACGACGAUCCAAAGAUGAACUGUGCAACUGUGAACUUGCUGGCCUCUGCCGGCGUGGUGAUCACUCGAUAGCCCGGCCACUUUACUCGCUGUCCAAGGGCUGCUCCCGGUCCGUAGUUCAUGUACUCGCCAUAGUACAGAGUGUCGAGAGCGAACGUUGCGUUCCAUUCCAGAAAUCCCCUCGGGUGAAUAUGGUCGCCCAUGUAGGAUAGCAUGAACACCGUUCGCGAGUAGAGUUUCCAUGGGCGGCCUAGGUACGUCUGGAAGCUGCCUUUUGAUGCCUCAAGAUCAGGCGUCGCCAGGAUUCUGCAUGCAUGAACAGAAAUCCCGGUGUUUUGAUUAGGGUCUUUUCUGUUUUGGGCAGUGACGGUGUUUUUCUGGAGGUUCAUCGGCUUGCGAGCAUUUAGAGUGCAGUUCUGGAACACAACCGCGGCAUUACCAAAUAUGAAGUCCACUGUCCCAUAGACGUCGCAUUCUCGGAAAAAUUGACGCUGCGAGUGGACGUAGAGGGUGUCUUGGUAGCCGACGAUGCUGCACCGGUAGACCACAGCAUGAUCGGCGCCCACUCGAAGAGCUACAGCCUGAUGCUUACUUGGACCAGCCCAGUUCUCAAAGGUCAUGUCUCUUGCAAUAAAGCCAGCACCAGUAGCCGCUGUGCGCAGCAGCAGACAAUAUUAAAGAUAGAUAGAGUAACGAAUAAAUUUGCAUUGCACUAUAGAAAGAAAGUUGGAACUUCCUUGGAAGCAGGACAAGGAAGAGAGAUGUAGUACUAGUACAGGGUGGAAAAUAAUUGGAAUCUUUUACCAAAACUGAAGUACGUAGGUAGGACAAGAAGGUACUCUCUCACAAGAAGAGAGUACGCAUAACUACUUGAAUGUCUACACAAUUCAAUGAUGCAAACACGCGUAAGUUGACGAUUGAUGUCCAUAACUAUCAUACUGUUAUAGUAACAGAGUAUGGGAUAUGCCCCACAACUCCAAUAAUAAUAAUUAUUGAGGCCACCAACUUAUUUAUGGUCACAUCACUAUCCUCAUAUUCUAGUGCCAGACAAGUGUGAAGUAAUUCCAAGUAGACAACGUUGAAGAUGGAAAAGAAGAGAAGCCAAAAACUCAAAAACUCUCCUCCUCCUCCUCCUCCUCCUCCACUUAACGUCUACUAAUAAAUAACACGAGACAAAUGCACGCACAAGUAAACGAAGCAAUACUUGCAACUAGUACGCGCCAAUCAAAUUUGACAGAAGUAAGAUCAUGCAUAUGUGUCCUGUUGUCAUUUCUCAUCAUAGCUUCUUUUUUUUUUUGUGUGAGAUUUCUCGUCAUAGCUUUAAGAGCAAUGGAAUUUUAGAAUUAAAUGAGAGAGAGAGAGAUAGAAAGCAGGAUUCCUUACCCAAUAAUUAUUACUGUUGUAUCCUGUAAUUCUAUUAUGUAUAUUUAUAUUACACGGAAAUGUCCAAGACAAGGGUCAAGAUGUUGACUACAAAUCUUUCGUCGGGGGUGAUUUUGUCAUACAAUAAUGCAUGAGCUAAGCUAUAAACAAGCGUAAACGGUAUCGGCCCGAUUCUACGGGCAAAGAACGUGAGGUUUCCCGUUUGCAGCCACACAAACAAAAGUUAAAAAAGCGACCUUAAAUUGAAAAAAAAAAAGAAAAAGAAAAAAGAAAAAGAGAGAGAGAGAGGACACGUGCAUCGUUUCCUUCUUCUUCCAUUUGGGACAUUGGCCAUGCCGCUGUGCCCGGGGUAUCUGAUGCCCCCUUUUUGUUUUCCGCCACCCACAAAAGUUUGAUUCUAAGCUACUGCUACUAAAUAAGCGCUUCAAAUUUCUACCCCCACCACCAACACCAACACCAACACCAACACCAACACCAACACCAACACCCUCAAUGUGUGUGUAUAUAUAUAUAUAUAUAUGUGUAUGUAUAUAAUAAUAUAAAGCAAGCCAAAGACGCCUUUUACUACGUACUAAUUACUACAGCUUAUAAGAGAAAAAAAAUAUGAAAGAACACAAAACAAAAGGAUGUUGGUUUAACGGGGAAGAAAACAAAUGAGUUUAAAAAGGGAAUAGAGCGGGUUUUUACAUACCGAAAGACGCGGUGUGGAAUGUGGUGACUUUAUCGAAAAUGCUCUUUCCGCCUGAAAUCACCGUUUUGCCUUUUCCAUCCCCUAUGAACAUCAAAUUCGUCUUCUUCCUUCCAACUUUCAGAUUAUCCUCCUCGUACCUGAAAGAUGACAAUCCACCACCCCAAAAAAAAAAAAAUUUUUCUCACAAACGUAUACAAUUAAUAUUAAAUCUUGUCGGUGGUGGUGCCACAAUUUCCCGCCACUCUUUGCAGCAAAUGAUGAUUGAGCACAAAGUCAAGAUGACAAUCCACAACUUGGAAGACCAAAAGAUGACUAUCCACUACUGCCAGCGUGUAAAUUGUUUUUAAAAUGUUUUUUUACAAUUUUUUUUUUUUUUUAAAAAGAGAGUAAUAGAGCACUAUUCAGCGUGUGACGGUGCCAGCAACAAAUAGCCAAUUGAUGGCAACCAUAGUCUUAAUCACCAAAGAGAGAAAAAAAAAAGGCAGCAACUAUAAAGUGGGUGAAAAGGUUACACUACUUACUGAAAAAAGAAAAAAAAAAAAAGAAAGAAAAGGGCAUUUGUGAGAGUAGAUCUCAUCCCACGUGAAAGUGAAACUUGAAAGUGAACGAACUUACUUUCCUGCCUUGACGUAGAUAAUGAUCCGGCGAGUGCUGUGCUCUGGCGCCUUCUUGAUCGCCUCCCCCACUGUUUUCACCGUUCCGUUCCCGUCUUUCGACACUAUUAUAUCCGCUUGAAUCGACGUCGCCGGCACCUGCAACAACCUUCGGUCCUUCCUUGAUAACCAUUUCGGAAACUCCUCCUCCUCCUCCUGCUGUUUAUAGUUACCACCAUAACCUUCCUCAUCAUCGCCCAUCAACCUCCGACGCUUGUUCCCUAUCGGAAUCCCUGAGAAAUCAUCACCGUCUCCCCCCGCCGCCGAGUAUAUCGCCAGGCAGUUGCUCACCAGUUCCGUCAGGUCCUUCAGCUUCUCCGACAUCUGAUCCUUCACGCUCCCUCCUCCGACUUCCCCAAAGCCCUCCGUGCACGUGUCCUGGUUGGUCAGAGCUGCGCUCAGCCACGUCAGCACGUCUUGUGUGGACCCCACGUAGGAGGAUGAGGAUGAGGAUGAGGAGCCUGAGCCGUCACCUUCUCCUUCGGUUGAGGCGGGUGACAUGGUGGUGAGGGAGCGGGCGAGCAGGUCCACGGAGUCCGCCAAGAGCUCCAGGCAGUCGUCGUAGGCGGAGCGGGAGCCCACGUCCAUGGCCACGUAGCCGAUGUCGGAGACGUCGUAGAGCGCCUUCCCCAAGCGCUGGAGCGUCAUGUUGACGGUAAUGUGGACGAGGUCCUUGUCGGAGGCGGUGAGCGCGCCGGGGAAGUCGAGGAGGGAGUCAACGCAGAGAGCCGGGUAGCGGGUUUUGCUGCAGGUGCGAGAGAUGGCUCUGGAAGGCUUGCGGUGGAGGGCGGCAUGGCUGGAGGCUUUGUUUCGGAGGGCGACAACCACCGCAGCCGAAAUGGCUGAGGCCACGAUGAGAAUGGCGGCCAGUAUGAUGAGGGGCUUGAGUUUGCUUUUCCGGGGAGUGGAAGUGGUGGGUUGGUCCGACGGGUCGGGGAGCAUUUGGCGGCUGGAGGAGCCUGCGGGCUCCGAAACGAGCCUGCCGUAGCCCAUGCCUGCUUUUUGCUCGUAUUAUAUUACUACUACAAUUUUGGCUGCUGAUUAUAUAAACACAAUUAUUAAGUCACUCACUCAAAGAUGCAGAACUCGUGGACAGCAAAAUGCAAAUUAUGCGAUGGAUUGGAGGCAAAAUGAAUGGAAUGUAUUCAAGUGGAAGGAAGAAAAGCAGCUAUAUAUUAAGACUAGAGACUUGGAGAGGCGUGGGGGGAGAUAACUGAUAGUAAGAGGGUGGCAGGCUUUAUAUAUUUUCCCGCAUCCCAGUUUGGGCAGUUGAAUAUAUUUUGUUAAGUAGCAUACUAGUAUUAAUUAUCGUAAUCCCUAUACAUACUUAUGCUGUUGGUAAUAAACUAAUAAUAGUAGUUGGUAUAUGAGAGUUAGUGCGUGUUGUGAGUGUGUGUGUGCGAGAGAGAGAGAGAGUUUGGUGUAAGGUCGAUGUCGAGGGGGGCAUUAGCUGGCUUCUACUUCCUCCGCCACACUGCUGCCUUGCCCGCUCGCUUAUUAGUUAUUACACUGGAGAGUGGGCUGUGGAUUGAGAAGGAAAGGAGAGGUCUGAGGGGGACGUGUUGUUAUUGACUUGCUUGUUCUGUGCUGUUUUCUGCUUUCUUCAAAACUUUUUCAUAUUAUUGACAUGAGUUUGUUUGGAUAAGAAUUUAUUUGGAUGAUUUAUUUGAUCCAGUUACUGUAGUACUUCUUGUGAUGUGAUGUAUGUGAGAUAAAAAGGUGAUUGGAAAUUGUGUGUAUGAUGCAAGCAAAACAAAAUCUGAAAUAAAUCUUACAAAUUUUCUUUGUCCAAACAAACCUGCUGUCUCUGCUGUUGUUUUCGUUUCCUUUGUUAGCAGGGAGUAUGUAUUAUAUUAUUAUUAUUGUUAUUAUUUUACUGUCGCCCGAAUGAAAAAAAUACAGAAAGAAAGAGUAGUAUGUAAUGUCGGAAGGAAGAAUGAAUUGUUAACUAACGGUGGUUUAUUCCUCUACCUUAACCCUUGACUCUCUUGGUCCCUCAACUUUAGGCCUGAGGUUUCAUUCCUUUUUCUCACCGUCCCACCGAGAGAAUAGAAUAUAUUCUUUGUUACUGUAAAGUAAGCUAUUUUAAAAUACUCCUCUUCCCGUAUUUUAAACUAGCCUUGUCCUUGCUGCCAAUCCUAGCACAGGUAGAUCGAAAUUUCGUAACUUUAGCUCGCGUAGCGUUGUCACAAGGGUCGAAAAGGGCAAAAAAAAAAAAAAAAAAAAAAAAAAAAAAAAAAAUGGAGAAAGUGAUGAAUUAUGGUGUCUACCCUUUUUAGUGCCAAACUAAGGUCUUGUUUGGCGGAGAAGGUGAUGAAUUAUGCCUUUUUAGUGCCAAACUAAGGUGAUGAAUUAUGGUGUCUACCUUUUUAAGUGAGUGCCAAUCUAAGGUCUUGUUUGACAAGUAAGUUUUUUGCUAUAUUUGUCUGCUACAAGUUUUUUAAUAAAUUUAGCUACAAUAACCUCAAAAAAAUUUUCAAAGUUUUUAAACUAUACACUUUAAAAUAUCAAAAAAUUUACACAUUUUUUAAAAAAAAUUCUACAACUUCUAAAGUAAGUUAUAAUAAAAUUUUAAACAAACAUCCAAAAAACUCACUUGCCAAAUAGGGCCUAAAUUAGGGUGCAUGUGCGGCUUAAAUGUUGGAAUCUGUAGGCAAUCCAGUUCUAUAAACUAGAGCUAAUUGUUGGAAUUUUGGACUAAACAAGAGGUUUGUUGCAUUUAACAGAGGCGGGUUAGAGAAAAUCAAUUUUGGCUAGAAUUUGUACACAGCUAUCCAUCGUUCUCAGACAAAGAGCAAAUGAAUUUCAAAAUCUCGGGCCCAGUUUCACAAUAGUCAAAUUCUAGGAAAUCGCAUGCACUUCAUCAAGUUAUGCAUUUGAUUUUUCAUCAGUUGGGGAUGACAGAGAAAGGAAGAAACGGAAUUAAGGAAGCAAUAUAUACAAGCAAAUCUCGGACUCCUUUAUUCCUUUAUAGCAUGAAAUUUGAUUGAUUUCCAACUGUAGUAUAUGGUUUACGAAUGGGAUUUGAUUACUCUUAUUCCAAUUAAAUGUACUUCACUUUGAUACCA
rnacentral:lncRNA from 1 species